GUACUUGCCUCAGCAACACAUAUACUAAAAUUGGAACGAUACAGAGAAGAUUCACAUGGCUCUUGCACAAGAAUGACAUUCAAAUUCGUGAAGUGUUCCAUAUUUUU